rnacentral:rRNA from 1 species
AAUCAACGCUGGCGGCGUGCCUCAGACAUGCAAGUCGAACGAUUAAAGCUCUCUUCGGAGAGUGUAUAGAGUGGCGCACGGGUGAGUAACACGUAAGUAAUCUACCUUUGAGUGGGGAAUAACAUCGGGAAACCGAUGCUAAUACCGCAUAAUGCAGCGGCAUCGCAAGAUGACAGUUGUUAAAGAUUUAUCGCUUGAAGAGGAGCUUGCGGCAGAUUAGCUAGUUGGUAAGGUAAUGGCUUACCAAGGCUACGAUCUGUAACCGGUCUAAGAGGACGGUCGGUCACACUGACACUGAAUAACGGGUCAGACUCCUACGGGAGGCAGCAGUCGGGAAUUUUGGGCAAUGGGCGAAAGCCUGACCCAGCAACGCCGCGUGAAGGAUGAAGUAUUUCGGUAUGUAAACUUCGAAAGAAUGGGAAGAAUAAAUGACGGUACCAUUUAUAAGGUCCGGCUAACUCGUGCCAG